CCUACGGGAGGCAGCAGUGGGGGAUAUUGCACAAUGGGGGAAACCCUGAUGCAGCGACGCCGCGUGUGGGAAGACGGUCCUCUGGAUUGUAAACCACUGUCCCCAGGGACGAAGAUGACGGUACCUGGGGAGGACGCUCCGGCUAACUACGUGCCAGCAGCCGCGGUAAUACGUAGGGAGCGAGCGUUGUCCGGAAUUACUGGGUGUACAGGGAGCGUAGGCGGGACUGCAAGUUGGGUGUCAAAUCUACCGGCUCAACCGGUAGCCGCACUCAAAACUGCAGUUCUUGAGUGAAGUAGAGGCAGGCGGAAUUCCUAGUGUAGCGGUGAAAUGCGUAGAUAUUAGGAGGAACACCAGUGGCGAAGGCGGCCUGCUGGGCUUUUACUGACGCUGAGGCUCGAAAGUGUGGGGAGCAAACAGGAUUAGAUACCCCAGUAGUC
rnacentral:rRNA from 1 species